CACGUAGGGCGCAAGCGUUGUCCGGAAUUAUUGGGCGUAAAGAGCUCGUAGGCGGUCUGUUACGUCUGCUGUGGAAACCCAGGGCUUAACCCUGAGCCUGCUUCCGAUACGGGCAGACUAGAGGUAUGCAGGGGAGAACGGAAUUCCUGGUGUAGCGGUGAAAUGCGCAGAUAUCAGGAGGAACACCGAUGGCGAAGGCAGAUCUCUGGGCCGUAACUGACGCUGAGGAGCGAAAGCGUGGGGAGCGAACAGG
rnacentral:rRNA from 1 species